rnacentral:rRNA from 1 species
GAUGAACGCUGGCGGCGUGCCUAAUACAUGCAAGUCGAGCGAAGCGGGGACGGGUGAGUAACACGUGGAUAACCUCCUAUAAGACUGGGAUAACUUCGGGAAACCGGAGCUAAACCGGAUACCUAUAGAUGGACCCGCGCUGCAUGAGCUAGUUGGUAAGGUAACGGCUUACCAAGGCAACGAUGCAUAGCCGACCUGGGAGGGGGAUCGGCCCCACGGGAACUGAGCCUCGUUCCAGGCUCCUCCGGGAGGCAGCCGUAGGGAAUCUUCCGCAAUGGGCGAAAGCCUUGCGGAGCAACGCCGCGUGCGUGUUGGAGGUCUUCGGAUCGUAAAACUCUGUUAUUAGGGAAGCGGUACCUACUCAGAAAGCCACGGCUAACUACGUGCCAGCAGCCGCGGUAAUAC